CAAUAGCGUAUAUUAAAGUUGUUGCGGUUAAAAAGUUCGUAGUUGGAUUUCUGCCAAGGACGACCGGUCCGCCCUCUGGGUGAGUAUCUGGCUUGGCCUCGGCAUCUUCUUGGAGAACGUUGCUGCACUUCACUGUGUGGCGCGGUAUCCAGGACCUUUACUUUGAGGAAAUUAGAGUGUUUCAAGCAGGCAUCUGCCUUGAAUACAUUAGCAUGGAAUAAUAAGAUAGGACCUCGGUUCUAUUUUGUUGGUUUCUAGAGCUGGGGUAAUGAUUAAUAGGGAUAGUUGGGGGCAUUCGUAUUUAACUGUCAGAGGUGAAACUCUUGGAUUUGUUAAAGACGGACUACUGCGAAAGCAUUUGCCAAGGAUGUUUUCAUUGA
rnacentral:rRNA from 1 species